UCUGAUUUCUGAUGUCAGUUGAAUGAGCUGAAGGUUUAUUAGAAUUACUUUCAGUGGUGGUGACAUUUUUAGCUGAGGUUGCAUGGUUUCAUUUAAACAUUAUUAAACAAACUGGGGCUUGAAUAUUCCCUGGAGGGCUGGAUGCAGCACUAAUCUUCAGUUAAACUGUCUUUAACUUUAUUGGAAACCAUCCAGCUAACAUAGCAUUGAGGAGGUUUGUGUAAGUACAGUUACCUAGACGGAAUGGCACAGUCUGUGACUAUUCCUUUUAAGGAAAAGACCAUUUGUUUCAGUGGUGGUUUUUGGAAUUGGGCAGAUAUGUUUCGAAGAAUUAAAAUACAGUAGCUAAAUACUGAAGCUUGUUUUUAUUCUUUUGAAUUAGAACCUUACAGUAAAAAGUUAGCUUCUGUAGUCUUGAGGUGUGAAGAAUUAGGUGUGCAGUUCCAGUUGUGUUGCUUUCUCUGCAGGAACAUUGAGGUUGCGCCACCUGUUAUUGGUAGGAGUGAUGUGGAGAUGGUUUUUGC